rnacentral:rRNA from 1 species
GACGUAGGGCGCGAGCGUUGUCCGGAUUUAUUGGGCGUAAAGAGCUCGUAGGCGGCUUGUCGCGUCGACUGUGAAAACCCGUGGCUCAACCAUGUGGUCUGCAGUCGAUACGGGCAGGCUAGAUUUCGGUAGGGGAGACUGGAAUUCCUGGUGUAGCGGUGAAAUGCGCAGAUAUCAGGAGGAACACCGGUGGCGAAGGCGGGUCUCUGGGCCGAUAUUGACGCUGAGGAGCGAAAGCGUGGGGAGCGAACAGG